UGUGGGAGCGAGCCUGCUCGCGAUAGCGGAGUGUCAGUUAACACACCUUUGACUGAUUCACCGCUAUCGCGAGCAGGCUCGCUCCCACU
rnacentral:antisense_RNA from 6 species